rnacentral:rRNA from 1 species
UACACAUGCAAGUCGAACGGUAACAGGUUAAGCUGACGAGUGGCGAACGGGUGAGUAACAUAUCGGAACGUGCCCAGUCGUGGGGGAUAACUGCUCGAAAGAGCAGCUAAUACCGCAUACGACCUGAGGGUGAAAGCGGGGGAUCGCAAGACCUCGCGCGAUUGGAGCGGCCGAUAUCAGAUUAGGUAGUUGGUGGGGUAAAGGCCUACCAAGCCUACGAUCUGUAGCUGGUCUGAGAGGACGACCAGCCACACUGGGACUGAGACACGGCCCAGACUCCUACGGGAGGCAGCAGUGGGGAAUUUUGGACAAUGGACGCAAGUCUGAUCCAGCCAUGCCGCGUGCGGGAAGAAGGCCUUCGGGUUGUAAACCGCUUUUGUCAGGGAAGAAAAGGUUCUGGUUAAUACCUGGGACUCAUGACGGUACCUGAAGAAUAAGCACCGGCUAACUACGUGCCAGCAGCCGCGGUAAUACGUAGGGUGCAAGCGUUAAUCGGAAUUACUGGGCGUAAAGCGUGCGCAGGCGGUUAUGCAAGACAGAGGUGAAAUCCCCGGGCUCAACCUGGGAACUGCCUUUGUGACUGCAUAGCUAGAGUACGGUAGAGGGGGAUGGAAUUCCGCGUGUAGCAGUGAAAUGCGUA